rnacentral:rRNA from 1 species
AUUGAACGCUGGCGGCAGGCCUAACACAUGCAAGUCGAACGGUAGCACAGAGAGCUUGCUCUCGGGUGACGAGUGGCGGACGGGUGAGUAAUGUCUGGGAAACUGCCCGAUGGAGGGGGAUAACUACUGGAAACGGUAGCUAAUACCGCAUAACGUCGCAAGACCAAAGUGGGGGACCUUCGGGCCUCACACCAUCGGAUGUGCCCAGAUGGGAUUAGCUAGUAGGUGGGGUAAUGGCUCACCUAGGCGACGAUCCCUAGCUGGUCUGAGAGGAUGAACAGCCACACUGGAACUGAGACACGGUCCAGACUCCUACGGGAGGCAGCAGUGGGGAAUAUUGCACAAUGGGCGCAAGCCUGAUGCAGCCAUGCCGCGUGUAUGAAGAAGGCCUUCGGGUUGUAAAGUACUUUCAGCGGGGAGGAAGGCGAUGUGGUUAAUAACCGCAUUGAUUGACGUUACCCGCAGAAGAAGCACCGGCUAACUCCGUGCCAGCAGCCGCCGCCG